rnacentral:rRNA from 1 species
GAGGGACGAAAGCUCGGGUCACGAACCGGAUUAGAUACCCGGGUAGUCCGAGCUGUAAACGAUGUCUGCUAGGUGUGACACAGGCUACGAGCCUGUGUUGUGCCGUAGGGAAGCCGUGAAGCAGACCGCCUGGGAAGUACGUCCGCAAGGAUGAAACUUAAAGGAAUUGGCGGGGGAGCACUACAACCGGAGGAGCCUGCGGUUUAAUUGGACUCAACGCCGGACAUCUCACCAGCAUCGACAGUGUGCAGUGACGGUCAGUGUGAUGAGCUUACCUGAGCCACUGAGAGGAGGUGCAUGGCCGCCGUCAGCUCGUACCGUGAGGCGUCCUGUUAAGUCAGGCAACGAGCGAGACCCGCACCCUUAAUUGCCAGCAACACCCUUGUGGUGGUUGGGUACAUUAAGAGGACUGCCAGUGCCAAACUGGAGGAAGGAACGGGCAACGGUAGGUCAGUAUGCCCCGAAUGUGCUGGGCGACACGCGGGCUACAAUGGUCGAGACAGUGGGAUGCAACGCCGAAAGGCGACGCUAAUCUCCGAAACUCGAUCGUAGUUCGGAUUGAGGGCUGAAACUCGCCCUCAUAAGGGGAUUCGGUAGUAA